UCCCCUACGGGAGGCAGCAGUGGGGAAUUUUGGACAAUGGGCGCAAGCCUGAUCCAGCUAUUCCGCGUGUGGGAUGACGGCCCUCGGGUUGUAAACCACUUUAGUAGAGAACGAAACGGAGCUAUCGAAUAAAUAGCUCUGCUGACGGUACUCUAAGAAUAAGCACCGGCUAACUACGUGCCAGCAGCCGCGGUAAUACGUAGGGUGCGAGCGUUAUCCGGAUUUAUUGGGUUUAAAGGGUGCGUAGGCGGACUGUUAAGUCAGCGGUAAAAGCCCGGGGCUCAACCCCGGCGAGCCGUUGAAAC
rnacentral:rRNA from 1 species